rnacentral:lncRNA from 1 species
UAGCUGCUUGCCACAACAGCAUGUUUUCCUGUGUUUAGGAACCAACUGGUGAACCAUCUCCUAAAAGACCAAGAGGAAGACCCAAGGGAAGCAAAAACAAGAGUCCCUCUAAAGCAGCUCAGAAGAAAGCAGAAGCCACUGGUGAAAAGCGACCCCGAGGGCGGCCCAGAAAAUGGCCUCAACAAGUGGUUCAAAAGAAGCCUGCUCAGGCCAGCUCACAGAAGAAAUGCAGCACCAGUCCCUGAGGACCCACCAUCUACAGCCUUCUGACUACAACACACAAUUCAAAACACACUGAGUUGUUCUAAUAAAAGAUAUUUCCUCUCCCUGGUCUCA